AUUACAACAAUGAAAAUGUAUAUAUAGUGUAUGAUGACAUUCAUUCAUUCAUUCUAUGUUUGGCGUGAUUACAUGUGAUCACAAGGAAGAUGAUUCUCCUAGGAUUUUAAUUUUUUCAUUCAUUCAAAAAAAAAAAAAUUUAAAUUUAAUUUAAUUUUCAAUAAUAAUGAAAUUGGAAUUUUCCAAUGGUAUCCAAGCAACAAAUGAUUUGUUGAUGAUCACAUGAUGAUGUGCAAUACAUACAUUCGAAAUUUGAUUCGCAAAUACCUGACAAUUAACGAUGCAUGGCCAUAUGAUGAUGAUGAUGAUGAUGAAAACAAAAUCAUUCAAAUAGAUUCAGAUCGGAUCGGAUCCAAAUCAAAUUGAAUGAAUGAAAUAAGCAAAUAGAAAAAAAAUUGGCAAAUUGACAUCGAUGUCAAUCCAGUCAAGAUGAUUGUCAUUACAGUAGUAAUCAUUUGUUUUUUGUUCGGAUCAAUGUAUGCAUUUGGUGUGGCCGGCCUCUCGUCAAUUGGAUUUUUCAUUUUCAUUUCUUUUCUUUUUUCUCUCGGUAAUGUUUCACCUUUUUUCCUUAUCGUUCACCAUUUUCAAAUGAUCAUCAUAUCACUAAGGUAAGAAAACGAAUAUUUUGGCUUAUUAAACGAUUCAACAAUUCUGGGGAUCAUUUAUUCAAUGAUUCAUAUAUCGAUCAAAAUAAAUGAAUUCGGCAAUGAUAAUGAAUGGCAACAAACAAAA